rnacentral:rRNA from 1 species
AGCGAACGCUGGCGGCAGGCCUAACACAUGCAAGUCGAACGGAUCCUUCGGGAUUAGUGGCGGACGGGUGAGUAACACGUGGGAACGUGCCCUUUGGUUCGGAACAACUCAGGGAAACUUGAGCUAAUACCGGAUGUGCCCUUCGGGGGAAAGAUUUAUCGCCAUUGGAGCGGCCCGCGUCUGAUUAGCUAGUUGGUGAGGUAACGGCCCACCAAGGCGACGAUCAGUAGCUGGUCUGAGAGGAUGAUCAGCCACACUGGGACUGAGACACGGCCCAGACUCCUACGGGAGGCAGCAGUGGGGAAUCUUGCGCAAUGGGCGAAGGCCUGACGCGGCCAUGCCGCGUGAAUGAUGAAGGUCUUAGGAUUGUAAAAUUCUUUCAGCGGGGACGAUAAUGACGGUACCCGCAGAAGAAGCUCCGGCUAACUUCGUG